rnacentral:rRNA from 1 species
CGGCAUGGCUAAGACAUGCAAGUCGAACGGACUAUUUUGAAGAGUAAUCGGAUUUAUAGUUAGUGGCGAAAGGGUGAGGAAUAGAUAGGUAACGUACCUUUGGCUUCGGAAUAGCUCAUCGAAAGGUGGGGUAAUACCGGAUGAUGUCAUCUGCUUAAUGCAGAUGACCAAAGAUUUAUCGGCCGAUGAACGGCCUAUCUCCUAUCAGCUUGUUGGUGAGGUAACGGCUUACCAAGGUAAUGAUGGGUAGCCGGCCUGAGAGGGUGUACGGCCACACUGGAACUGCGACACGGUCCAGACUCCUACGGGAGGCAGCAGUGGGGAAUUUUGCGCAAUGGGCGAAAGCCUGACGCAGCGACGCCGCGUGGAGGAUUAAGGCCUUCGGGUUGUAAACUCCUGUCAGAGGUGAAGAAUGUCCCUUCGGGGAUUUGACGGUAACCUCAGAGGAAGCCCCGGCUAACUACGUGCCAGCAGCCGCGGUAAUACGUAGGGGGCGAACGUUGCUCGGAAUUACUGGGCGUAAAGGGUGUGUAGGUGGCUGAGCAAGUCGUUGAUGAAAUCCCGAGGCUCACCCUCGGAACUGUCAUCGAAACUGCUCAGCUUGAGGAUAGUUGAGGAGAACGGAAUUCCCGGUGGAGCGGUGAAAUGCGUAGAUAUCGGGAGGAACACCAGAGGCGAAGGCGGUUCUCUGGGCUAUUCCUGACACUGAAACACGAAAGCUAGGGGAGCAAACGGGAUUAGAUACCCCGGUAGUCCUAGCCGUAAACGAUGGGCACUAGAUGUUUCUACUUUGAUGUAGGGGUGUCGAAGCUA